CAGUAGCCGCGGGAAUACGUAGGGUGCAAGCGUUAAUCGGAAUUACUGGGCGUAAAGCGUGCGCAGGCGGUUUGUUAAGACAGAUGUGGAAUCCCCGGGCUCAACCUGGGAACUGCAUUUGUGACUGGCAAGUUAGAGUAUGGCAGAGGGGGGUGGAAUUCCGCGUGUAGCAGUGAAAUGCGUAGAUAUGCGGAGGAACACCGAUGGCGAAGGCAGCCCCCUGGGCCAAUACUGACGCUCAUGCACGAAAGCGUGGGGAGCAAACAGGAUUAGAUACCCCAGUAGUCCCUGUCUCUUAUAC
rnacentral:rRNA from 1 species